ACCAGGGACCGAGGUAUCGGAUAACUGACAGCUUCCAGCCGCCAAGACCCUCGCUCUAGAAUCCCUGAUGACAAAACCCACUCCUCCUCUAUCCCCAUCAUCUAAAAUCGAGUUAUCAAAAUUGUCUUGAAAAAACUCGGAGGUAGAAGCUCCCAGGUGAUGAACGCUCUCUUCACUUAGCCAUUUAUUCCUAGCUACAUAAAAAUUCCUGUGCUAUGGGCAAUACAUUGGGUUCUUCACUGAAACAUCGAUGUCUCGGGGCCACUCUCAGCACCUGACAAAAUUCCUAUGCUACUGCAUGAUCCGCCAUUAGAUUUUUGUCUAUGUAACACCAUGAUAACUUAAUAUUUACUUUUACUCGUUCGCAAGAAGGGUAAUCUAGAUGUUAAUGACCAAAUACAACAAUAGUUUUCUUUUUUUUUGAGAUGUGUUUGGAAGAUAGACCAUAAAGAAGUUUUACAGAUGGUGAUUGGAGGAUUCUGCAUAAUUUCAAUACUGUACCACUCUCGAUUAACUUGCUCUAUCAUUGACAUGGACGUCCACGUAGCAAAUGGAAAGCUCC
rnacentral:lncRNA from 1 species